GGCCCGGAGGGCGAGCAAGCGCCUCCUAAGCGCUAGGUCGCAGGUUCGACUCCUGCUCGGGGCGCCA
rnacentral:tRNA from 2 species